GCCAAUCAGGAACAAGUAUCUACAACCCGGGAACAAACCCAGAUAAAAACUCCCAUGAUUUCUGAUUGCAGGGACAUCCAGACAUGCGAAGAUUCAGAUAUCCAGGUUUGUUCCAUUCUUUUUAUGAGGAAAUACGGACAUUUUUACAGUUUUGGAACACAACAAUCAAGCAGCUAUAUUGUUACUUAUCCUUAUGACUGGCUACGGGAUUUAUUUGCGUUGCAGUGCCUUGCUUCAUGUGAAAUAAAACAGGAGCAUGUUUAGAGAUUCAUAGGAUUAAACAACUCAGUUCAAAAUGAUCUUACAAAACUGAGUAACAGAUUUGGUAUUGCUAGUUGACAAAUGAAUGUAUAGCUGACUUUCAAUACAGCUGGUCAAUUCCCACAGAUGUACAUCAGGGGUGGUGCAGCAUGCAGCAAAUGCACCAGGUAAAUGCACCAUUUCUCAUUGUUUGCUUAAAUCAAUAAGAUCAACACAGAGAAUUUAUGUAGUGCAAGGAAUUAGUCAUCCUUUUGAAAAAUGCAUAAAAUUCUGGGUCACAUUAAGUCAGCUGUGUGUUCUCUCCC
rnacentral:lncRNA from 11 species